UGUUGACAGGCAGGGAAGUGUCCACCUUAGAAAGCCUUCGAGAACUUUUCUCCCCAGGACUUCAGGGAGCCAAUACUGUAAUAACAAGAUCCAGGUUUUAUGUUUUUAACAACACGGUGACAGGAAAAAGUCUUUCUGGCACCUCAGCCUGACGUAGGGUGGCUUCCUGGCACCCAGAGCCUCUUAUGCUGAAGGCAAAGCAGGAGCCCAAAGCGAGAUCCAGCAACCCAAGAGAGACUUCAGGCAAAGAUACGCAGAUACGCAUUGGGAAGCUGGCCGUCAUGCACCGAAGCGGAAACAUGACACGUUCAGGAAAUCUCCGACCUAGGAGUCACCGCUCAUCCAGAGGUCUGUGAAGAAGGUGUGAACACCAGCCCUGCAGUCUCUCCAACGUACAGCAGACGCUAAAUCCAGGAGGCGGCUCAGGCACCAGAGUAAUUCGCAGUUAUGGGAGCCUUUAAACAAUCUCAUUCACUUGCCUUGCCCUAAUCUAACUUCCUCUCCCGGGAUAUGUCUGCAAGACUCAUUACUAAGAAAUGCUGGCCUCGGCCACAUCAUAGGCUUAAGACUCCAGCCCCUCUGCUGCCAUGAGCAAACCUCAGCUGUUCCAAAGCGAAGCCGUAUUUCACCUCUCCCAAGAGGCCAGAUCGAAGCCACACUACAGAUUCCAGAAGGAUGGGCAGAUGCGGGGUAAGAAGGGAGACUCCCUCACUGGGCCAAGGGAGCCGCCUCAGGUCCUCUGUCCUCCAAGAGCACACGGCUAGCUUUGUUCCCGUGUCCCAAACAGGGUGCAGCAUGGUUCAUGCAUGCACCAAGUUCGGUGUGCCCUUCAGGUCAAGGGCGGGAGUGAUGUGUGCUCCUAUGUGCAGCCACUGCAGACUGGGGCUGGGCUCAGCGAGGUGAGUAGAGGGAGGCGAGGUCCAGCAAGGCCCAUUAAUUCAUAUGAGCGUUGUCUUAGCUGGCUGGACUGGAAAUGAAUUCAUAGCCGGGCAGCCUCGGGGCCCUGCUGCUACAAUCUGGGGUGGGGACCACAAAGAGUUUUCAUUGCUGGUCAUACAAAUGGAACAAAACUUUCAAACGCAAUUUCCUCCUGUUUUUUCCCCCACCCUGUGUCAUCUUUAAUCUGUGUUGGGGAAGAUGUGAAGAUCUUGGGUGGAUCAACAGCACAGAGGAGAAGGAAAAUCCUGUAAUGUGAAAUAUUCUCCAGCAAGAAAAGCAAUCGGAGAAGUGACCGCGAAGCCACUUUAGCUGUUUGUGUGCUCUCUCUCUCUCUCUCUCUCUCUCUCUCUCUCUCUCUCAGAAUCCCUCCAGUAAAUAGUUAAAAAAAAAAAACAGAAAAGAUGAUGGCUUUGGAGCGCAUGUUUUUACUGGAAUUGGAAGGGGUUUUAUCAAGAGAAGUCCAGAACACUCCCUUCUCACCUGAAGGAGGACAACACCAUCCGCGCCCCCUUCGCCCCCAUUACAGCACCAGCUUGGGGAAGAGAGCUCAUGAGCUCUUAGCAAUUCCCCUAUUUGCAGACUGAAGCUCCUUUGCUCAAAAACUGAUGAAUACGUUUUCUUUUGUGGCAUGAGAAUAGGUGACCUUUUCCCCCUGAAUUCCCAUCCUGGGGGCCAGGGAAGAGAGCCCAGGAUCCCUUCUCUUGGCCCUUGCACCGUGGGAAAGAGUAUCCAGAGUUGAAAAGCCUGAGAAAUGCCCUGGAACAGCUUUGAAAGUCACUCAGCGUGAGCGCUUGCCCUCUGAAAAAUCAUCCCCGUUGUAUCGCGACAGGCACGCCUCGGGGUCUGUGACCCGGUCCCAGACACAGAGCUGAUUCCCUGUGUCAGCAGAUUCACACCACUUGUCUCGCUUCUGAAAACAGUUUCUAAAGAAUUAUCUGGUGAAGUCAGUUUCCUAGGAGAAUCCAUCACAUCUCUCCAGCAGAUAUUUCCACCCUUGCAAACCAUUAGAUAAACUUAAAGAACAAAUUAGUCCUCACUGUCAGCCCCCCCCCCCCAGCCCUCUCCAGGCCACCACUUAAAUCAUGCUACUUUCUCAGUGGAUUUGAAGCAAGCUUUCAGAUCGGAGCCCUCCAACCAAGAGCCCAAGGACAUAACUCAUAAGAACAAUCGCCCAACAACUGUCUCUUCAACUUCUCCCAUCUGGUAUCUGCUCCCUUGUGAAUGGGGCACCCACCAGCAGGAAGGGUUAGGGCUGGGGUGAGUUAAGUCUUGAAAAGAAAGGGGUGACAGAAAAGGAGCGAGAUCAAAACGGUCCCAGGAGGCAAGUGUCGGGCAAGGGCUUUGAAACCCUUCAAAUAGCUACUUCUGCUCUGUCUUGAUUUUGUCCCACUCUCCAGUGUUACAUACCUGCCACCCUAGAAACCAUGAGCUGUGCGUGGCCACUGGCAAUCAGCUGCUGGUAACUUUAUAAAAGAGUCUGCUCCUGGCCAGAAUCAGAACAAAAUCUACGUUGAUUCACUUGGUAUCCCUAAACUGAAUUAAGCAUCAGAGCGGCACAGUAGGCUGGGAGAAGGACAAAUUUCGACGUCAGGUAAGCCCGAGUUCCACGUUUUGCCUCUGACACUGGUGGUCAAGGCAGGCAAGGUGGUCAGGGCAGGUUAGUCACAGAGUCUCUGCUGUCUGCUCU